rnacentral:tRNA from 1 species
AGAGAAACAGCCCAGUGGUAGAGCACAUGCUUAUUUAGCAUGCAUGAGGUCCUGGGUUCAAUCCCCAGUACCUCCG